AUUGAACGCUGGCGGCAGGCUUAACACAUGCAAGUCGAGCGGGGGAAGGUAGCUUGCUACCGGACCUAGCGGCGGACGGGUGAGUAAUGCUUAGGAAUCUGCCUAUUAGUGAGGGACAACAUCUCGAAAGGGAUGCUAAUACCGCAUACGUCCUACGGGAGAAAGCAGGGGAUCUUCGGACCUUGCGCUAAUAGAUGAGCCUAAGUCGGAUUAGCUAGUUGGUGGGGUAAAGGCCUACCAAGGCGACGAUCUGUAGCGGGUCUGAGAGGAUGAUCCGCCCAACUGGGACUGGGACACGGCCCAGACUCCUACGGGAGGCAGCAGUGGGGAAUAUUGGACAAUGGGGGGAACCCUGAUCCAGCCAUGCCGCGUGUGUGAAGAAGGCCUUAUGCUUGUAAAGCACUUUAAGCGAGGAGGAGGCUACUUUAGUUAAUACCUAGAGAUAGUGGACGUUACUCGCAGAAUGAGCACCGGCUAACUCUGUGCCAGCCGCCGCCGUAA
rnacentral:rRNA from 1 species